rnacentral:rRNA from 1 species
CACGUAGGGUGCGAGCGUUGUCCGGAAUUAUUGGGCGUAAAGAGCUCGUAGGCGGUUUGUCGCGUCUGCCGUGAAAGUCCGGGGCUCAACUCCGGAUCUGCGGUAGGUACGGGCAGACUAGAGUGAUGUAGGGGAGACUGGAAUUCCUGGUGUAGCGGUGAAAUGCGCAGAUAUCAGGAGGAACACCGAUGGCGAAGGCAGGUCUCUGGGCAUUAACUGACGCUGAGGAGCGAAAGCAUGGGGAGCGAACAGG